GGGUUGUGAGGUUAAGCGACUAAGCGUACACGGUGGAUGCCCUGGCAGUCAGAGGCGAUGAAGGACGUGCUAAUCUGCGAUAAGCGUCGGUAAGGUGAUAUGAACCGUUAUAACCGGCGAUUUCCGAAUGGGGAAACCCAGUGUGAUUCGUCACACUAUCAUUAACUGAAUCCAUAGGUUAAUGAGGCGAACCGGGGGAACUGAAACAUCUAAGUACCCCGAGGAAAAGAAAUCAACCGAGAUUCCCCCAGUAGCGGCGAGCGAACGGGGAGGAGCCCAGAGCCUGAAUCAGUGUGUGUGUUAGUGGAAGCGUCUGGAAAGGCGCGCGAUACAGGGUGACAGCCCCGUACACAAAAAUGCACAUGCUGUGAGCUCGAUGAGUAGGGCGGGACACGUGGUAUCCUGUCUGAAUAUGGGGGGACCAUCCUCCAAGGCUAAAUACUCCUGACUGACCGAUAGUGAACCAGUACCGUGAGGGAAAGGCGAAAAGAACCCCGGCGAGGGGAGUGAAAAAGAACCUGAAACCGUGUACGUACAAGCAGUGGGAGCACGCUUAGGCGUGUGACUGCGUACCUUUUGUAUAAUGGGUCAGCGACUUAUAUUCUGUAGCAAGGUUAACCGAAUAGGGGAGCCGAAGGGAAACCGAGUCUUAACUGGGCGUUAAGUUGCAGGGUAUAGACCCGAAACCCGGUGAUCUAGCCAUGGGCAGGUUGAAGGUUGGGUAACACUAACUGGAGGACCGAACCGACUAAUGUUGAAAAAUUAGCGGAUGACUUGUGGCUGGGGGUGAAAGGCCAAUCAAACCGGGAGAUAGCUGGUUCUCCCCGAAAGCUAUUUAGGUAGCGCCUCGUGAAUUCAUCUCCGGGGGUAGAGCACUGUUUCGGCAAGGGGGUCAUCCCGACUUACCAACCCGAUGCAAACUGCGAAUACCGGAGAAUGUUAUCACGGGAGACACACGGCGGGUGCUAACGUCCGUCGUGAAGAGGGAAACAACCCAGACCGCCAGCUAAGGUCCCAAAGUCAUGGUUAAGUGGGAAACGAUGUGGGAAGGCCCAGACAGCCAGGAUGUUGGCUUAGAAGCAGCCAUCAUUUAAAGAAAGCGUAAUAGCUCACUGGUCGAGUCGGCCUGCGCGGAAGAUGUAACGGGGCUAAACCAUGCACCGAAGCUGCGGCAGCGACGCUGAUGCGUUGUUGGGUAGGGGAGCGUUCUGUAAGCCUGCGAAGGUGUGCUGUGAGGCAUGCUGGAGGUAUCAGAAGUGCGAAUGCUGACAUAAGUAACGAUAAAGCGGGUGAAAAGCCCGCUCGCCGGAAGACCAAGGGUUCCUGUCCAACGUUAAUCGGGGCAGGGUGAGUCGACCCCUAAGGCGAGGCCGAAAGGCGUAGUCGAUGGGAAACAGGUUAAUAUUCCUGUACUUGGUGUUACUGCGAAGGGGGGACGGAGAAGGCUAUGUUGGCCGGGCGACGGUUGUCCCGGUUUAAGCGUGUAGGCUGGUUUUCCAGGCAAAUCCGGAAAAUCAAGGCUGAGGCGUGAUGACGAGGCACUACGGUGCUGAAGCAACAAAUGCCCUGCUUCCAGGAAAAGCCUCUAAGCAUCAGGUAACAUCAAAUCGUACCCCAAACCGACACAGGUGGUCAGGUAGAGAAUACCAAGGCGCUUGAGAGAACUCGGGUGAAGGAACUAGGCAAAAUGGUGCCGUAACUUCGGGAGAAGGCACGCUGAUAUGUAGGUGAAGUCCCUCGCGGAUGGAGCUGAAAUCAGUCGAAGAUACCAGCUGGCUGCAACUGUUUAUUAAAAACACAGCACUGUGCAAACACGAAAGUGGACGUAUACGGUGUGACGCCUGCCCGGUGCCGGAAGGUUAAUUGAUGGGGUUAGCGCAAGCGAAGCUCUUGAUCGAAGCCCCGGUAAACGGCGGCCGUAACUAUAACGGUCCUAAGGUAGCGAAAUUCCUUGUCGGGUAAGUUCCGACCUGCACGAAUGGCGUAAUGAUGGCCAGGCUGUCUCCACCCGAGACUCAGUGAAAUUGAACUCGCUGUGAAGAUGCAGUGUACCCGCGGCAAGACGGAAAGACCCCGUGAACCUUUACUAUAGCUUGACACUGAACAUUGAGCCUUGAUGUGUAGGAUAGGUGGGAGGCUUUGAAGUGUGGACGCCAGUCUGCAUGGAGCCGACCUUGAAAUACCACCCUUUAAUGUUUGAUGUUCUAACGUUGACCCGUAAUCCGGGUUGCGGACAGUGUCUGGUGGGUAGUUUGACUGGGGCGGUCUCCUCCUAAAGAGUAACGGAGGAGCACGAAGGUUGGCUAAUCCUGGUCGGACAUCAGGAGGUUAGUGCAAUGGCAUAAGCCAGCUUGACUGCGAGCGUGACGGCGCGAGCAGGUGCGAAAGCAGGUCAUAGUGAUCCGGUGGUUCUGAAUGGAAGGGCCAUCGCUCAACGGAUAAAAGGUACUCCGGGGAUAACAGGCUGAUACCGCCCAAGAGUUCAUAUCGACGGCGGUGUUUGGCACCUCGAUGUCGGCUCAUCACAUCCUGGGGCUGAAGUAGGUCCCAAGGGUAUGGCUGUUCGCCAUUUAAAGUGGUACGCGAGCUGGGUUUAGAACGUCGUGAGACAGUUCGGUCCCUAUCUGCCGUGGGCGCUGGAGAACUGAGGGGGGCUGCUCCUAGUACGAGAGGACCGGAGUGGACGCAUCACUGGUGUUCGGGUUGUCAUGCCAAUGGCACUGCCCGGUAGCUAAAUGCGGAAGAGAUAAGUGCUGAAAGCAUCUAAGCACGAAACUUGCCCCGAGAUGAGUUCUCCCUGACUCCUUGAGAGUCCUGAAGGAACGUUGAAGACGACGACGUUGAUAGGCCGGGUGUGUAAGCGCAGCGAUGCGUUGAGCUAACCGGUACUAAUGAACCGUGAGGCUUAACCUUACAACGCCGAAGGUGUUU
rnacentral:rRNA from 1 species